UCGCGAAAACUUUGCAAUAAGCGCAAGCUUGACAGGGCUAUCCCGAGUGCCAUCCGCUGAGGAAGGCUUUUACCCAGUCUAGAACGCUGGGGGGAAUAAGGAGAGGGCAAGUCUGGUGUCAGCCGCCGCGGUAAUACCAGCUCUCCGAGUGGUGUGGAUGUUUAUUGGGCCUAAAGCAUCCGUAGCUGGCUAGGUUAGUCCCCUGUUAAAUCCACCGAAUUAAUCGUUGGAUUGCGGGGGAUACUGCUUGGCUAGGGGACGAGAGAGGCAGACGGUAUUUUCGGGGUAGGGGUGAAAUCCUAUAAUCCCGGGAAGACCACCAGUGGCGAAGGCUGUCUGCUAGAACGCGCCCGACGGUGAGGGAUGAAAGCUGGGGGAGCGAACCGGAUUAGAUACCCGGGUAGUCCCAGCUGUAAACGAUGCAGGCUAGGUGUUUGGACGGCCACGUGCCGUUCUAGUGCCGCAGGGAAGCUGUUAAGCCUGCCGCCUGGGGAUACGAUCGCAAGAUUGAACUUAAGGAUUGGC
rnacentral:rRNA from 1 species